rnacentral:rRNA from 1 species
AACGAACGCUGGCGGCAUGCCUAACACAUGCAAGUCGAACGAGACCUUCGGGUCUAGUGGCGCACGGGUGCGUAACGCGUGGGAACCUGCCCUUAGGUUCGGAAUAACUCCCCGAAAGGGGUGCUAAUACCGGAUAAUGUCUUCGGACCAAAGAUUUAUCGCCUUUGGAUGGGCCGGCGUUGGAUUAGCUAGUUGGGAGGGUAAAAGCCUACCAAGGCGACGAUCCAUAGCUGGUCUGAGAGGAUGAGCAGCCACACUGGGACUGAGACACGGCCCAGACUCCUACGGGAGGCAGCAGGGGGGAAUAUUGGACAAUGGGCGAAAGCCUGAUCCAGCAAUGCCGCGUGAGUGAUGAAGGCCUUAGGGGUGUAAAGCUCUUUUACCCGGGAUGAUAAUGACAGUACCGGGAGAAUAAGCUCCGGCUAACUCCGUG